UACGUAGGGACCGAGCGUUAUCCGGAUUCAUUGGGCGUAAAGAGCUCGUAGGCGGCUAUUCAAGUCGAACGUGAAAUCUCGGAGCUCAACUCCGAGCCUGCGUUCGAUACUGGGUAGCUAGAGUCUGGUAGGGGGAUCUGGAAUUCCUGGUGUAGCGGUGGAAUGCGUAGAUAUCGGGAGGAACACCAGUGGCGAAGGCGACUACCUGGCCUGUUCUUGACGCUGAGGCGCGAAAGCUAGGGGAGCAAACGGG
rnacentral:rRNA from 1 species